UACGUAGGAUGCGAGCGUUAUCCGGAUUUAUUGGGUUUAAAGGGUGCGCAGGCGGCACGGCAAGCCGGCGGUCAAAUCGCGGGGCUCAACCCCGCCCAGCCGUCGGAACUGCCGGGCUAGAGUGGGCGAGAAGUGCGCGGAAUGCGUGGUGUAGCGGUGAAAUGCAUAGAUAUCACGCAGAACUCCGAUUGCGAAGGCAGCGCACCGGCGCCCUGCUGACGCUCAGGCACGAAAGCGUGGGUAUCGAACAGG
rnacentral:rRNA from 1 species